rnacentral:rRNA from 1 species
AGAACGAACGCUGGCGGCAUGCCUAACACAUGCAAGUCGAAUGAGACCUUCGGGUCUAGUGGCGCACGGGUGCGUAACGCGUGGGAACCUGCCUUGAGGUUCGGAAUAACUCCCGAAAGGGGUGCUAAUACCGGAUAAUGUCUUCGGACCAAAGAUUUAUCGCCUUUAGAUGGGCCCGCGUUGGAUUAGCUAGUUGGUGGGGUAAAGGCCUACCAAGGCGACGAUCCAUAGCUGGUCUGAGAGGAUGAUCAGCCACACUGGGACUGAGACACGGCCCAGACUCCUACGGGAGGCAGCAGGUGGGGAAUAUUGGACAAUGGGCGAAAGCCUGAUCCAGCAAUGCCGCGUGAGUGAUGAAGGCCUUAGGGUUGUAGAGCUCUUUUACCCGGAUGAUAAUGACAGUACCGGAGAAUAAGCCCGGCUAACUCCGUGCCAGCAGCCGC